rnacentral:rRNA from 1 species
CCUACGGGUGGCAGCAGUGAGGAAUAUUGGUCAAUGGGCGCGAGCCUGAACCAGCCAAGUCGCGUGAGGGAGGACGGCCCUACGGGUUGUAAACCUCUUUUGCCGGGGAGCAACGGGCGUCACGUGUGGCGCCACUGAGAGUACCCGGAGAAAAAGCAUCGGCUAACUCCGUGCCAGCAGCCGCGGUAAUACGGAGGAUCCGAGCGUUAUCCGGAUUUAUUGGGUUUAAAGGGAGCGUAGAUGGGUUGUUAAGUCAGUUGUGAAAGUUUGCGGCUCAACCGUAAAAUUGCCGUUGAAACUGGAAGACUUGAGUGUGUUUGAGGUAGGCGGAAUGCGUGGUGUAGCGGUGAAAUGCAUAGAUAUCACGCAGAACUCCGAUUGCGAAGGCAGCUUACUAAGCCAUAACUGACACUGAAGCACGAAAGCGUGGGGAUCAAACAGGAUUAGAUACCCUAGUAGUC